rnacentral:tRNA from 1 species
GGAAGGGUGCAAGAGUGGUUGAAUUGGCACGCCUGGAAAGCGUGUGUAUCCGAAAGGGUACCGAGGGUUCGAAUCCCUCUCCUUCCG